rnacentral:antisense_RNA from 1 species
AGGGGGCGCCGCGUUGGAACGCCCGAAGAGGUGCUGCUGGGGUGGUUGGAAGCCGGUGGGGGGCGGGUGUAUGGCGGCUAGGCCUGGAAGACCACGAGGACCGCUAGCGCCGUGGGGUCACUCUUCCUCAUGCCACAGGUUGCCGAGCCUCGGGGGAGAGGUGGGGUCCCAGGGGCCAACCCUUGGGUGUGUUGAUGGCGGCAGGCUAACCCAGCCAACGGGGUGCCACUGCCGGGCAAGGGAAGACCACAAAAGCAUCCAACCACAGUCUGCGCUGCAGCCCGGCAGAACUAAGUCUUGGGCGCCGCGACGCCUUUCCUACGGAAUAGGUCCUGGAAGGAAGACCAUUUAAGGACUGGCGAGGAGAGCACGCCUUCCCUUCCGAAGGUGCGUUACCAGAUUGCUGCCGUUUUUGUGCUGGGUCAUCAGAGCAGAUUCCCCUCCAGGUUACAGAUUAAACUUAACUCUACCCGUGCUGAAAAUGGCCGGAGCACGCCGCCUCGCCUCCCCUCCCCAAGGCUGCCGGAGCCGCCGGCCCCUGCCUCCUUUUCGACGACUGAUCGUCCAAGGACUGGCGCCGGAUCCAACACCUUUCCCCAGCUCUGCGCGUACCGCGCUCUUUGGAAACGAAUUGGUCCCUGUCUGCUUCCAAGGGUCCCUGGAACCUUCUGCAGCUGUGCCUCUCCAGAGCUCCGCCUCAUUAGUGCCACGUUCCUGGUUUGAAAACCAUAGUACUUCAACCUCUUCUAGAUGGGAGUUAACCUUUGCCCUCUGAAAGAAAGGUUUGAUAAGCAAAGAGAGUUUGGUGAGCAAGAUCCUUGAGGUAAGAGCUGAUCUCUGACGUCCGCUGGGAACUGGCUGCUCUGCAGGUUUCUGUAUCACAUUUUCUGCACAUGUCCAUUAGAAUUGGAGAUGGGGCGUAUCUAGUGUUGAAUAAAGGCCCGGCAGGCCCUCCCAGAUGCACCCUGUCA